AAGAUUUUAAGUUAAAUUAAACUAUUAGCCUUCAAAGUUAAAAAUAUUAUUUCUAAAUAAAUCUUA
rnacentral:tRNA from 1 species